UGGAUAGGUAGUUUUCUUUUGCUUAUAUCUCUUGCCAUGUUAACCAACAUUUAAUAUUGUUGAGUACUUAAACGGGAGAGAACUAAAUAAUUGUUGUGGUGUUUCGUCAUUAUGCAAUGGAGUUGCAUAUUAAGCUCCACUUAAUUUGUAGGGUUGUUUGUGCAUUUUGCCAUGCCAUGAUUCAUUAAACCGGACAUGCAUCAUAUUUGAUUGUGCAUCAUGCCAUGUUCAUGUGUUGGUUGUUUACUAUGUUGUGUGCUUCUUUCUGGUGUUUGCUUCUUCGGGUUGGUUUCGAUAACGUCACGCUUGUGAGGACCCGUUCGUCUACGUUCGUUUGUCUUCUUCAUGGACUCGUUCUUCUUCCUUGUGGGAUUUCAGGCAAGAUUAUCAUACCCUCAAAAUAACUUCUAUCUUUGCUUGCUAGUUGCUCUCUCUUUUGCUAUGCCUAUGCUUCGAUACCUACCACUUGCUUAUCAUGCCUCCCAUUUUGUUGAACCAAGCCUCUAACCCACCUGGUCCUAGCAAACCGUUGUUUGGCUAUAUUACCGCUUUGCUCAGCCCCUCUUAUAGCGUUGUUAGUUGCAGGUGAAGAUUGAAGUUUGUUCCUUGUUGGAACAUGGAGAUGUUGUUCCUUGUUGGAACAUGUUUACUUGUUGGCAUAUUACAAUAUAUCUUCUUUAAUUCAUGCAUCUAUAUACUUGGUAAAGGGUGGAAGGCUCGGACUUAUGCCUGGUGUUUUGUUCCACUCUUGCCUCCCUAGUUUCUGUCAUAUCGAUGUUAUGUUCCCGGAUUUUGCGUUCCUUAUGCGGUUGGGCUAUAAUGGGAACCCCUUGACAGUUCACCUUGAAUAAAACUCUUCCAGCAAUGCCCAACAUUGGUUUUACCAUUCGUUACCUAGCCUUUUCUUUUCCCUUGGGAGUCGCGCUCCUGAGGGUCAUCAUUAUUUUACCCCCCCCCCGGGCCAGUGCUCCUCUGAGUGUUGGUCCAACCUGUCAGCUGCCGGUGGCCACCAGGGGCAACUCUGGGCUGGCCUACCCGUACCUUGGACAAUCCGGUGUGCCCUGAGAACGAGAUAUGUGCAGCUCCUAUCGGGAUUUGUCGGCACAUUCGGGCGGUGUUGCUGGACUUGUUUUAUCUUUGUCGAAGUUGUCUUGUAGAACCGGGAUGCCGAGUCUGAUCGGAAUGUCUCGUGAGAAGGUUUAUCCUUCGUUGACCGUGAGAGCUUGUGAUGGGCUAAGUUGGGACACCCCUGCAGGGAUUUGAACUUUCGAAAGCCGUGCCCGCGGUUAUGGGUAGAUGGGAAUUUGUUAAUGUCCCAUUGUAGAAAACCUGAAGUUGAUCUUAAUUAAAAUACAUCAACCGCGUGUGUAACCGUGAUGGUCUCUUUCUGGCGGAGUCCGGGAAGUGAACACGGUGUUGGAGUUAUGCUUGACGUAGGUUGUUCUAGGAUCACUUCUUGAUCAUACUUUUAUCGACCGUGCUUUGCCUUCUCUUCUCGCUCUCAUUUGCGUAUGUUAGCCACCAUAUAUGCUAGUCGCUUGCUGCAGCUCCGCCUCAUACCUUUUACCUUAGCCAUAAGCUUAAAUAGUCUUGAUCGCGAGGGUGUGAGAUUGCUGAGUCCCCAUGACUCACAGAUACUUCCAAAACCAGCUUGCAGGUGCCGUUGAACCGUGCAGAUGACGCAACCAAGCUCAAGGAGGAGCUCGAUGAAGAUCUUGCCCUUUGUGUUGUUUCGUUCUAGUUGAUCAGUAGUGGCGCCCAGUUGGGGUCGAUCGGGGAUCUGUGUAGAAUUUGGGGUAGUCUUAUUUUAUUUUGGCUCCGUAGUCGGGCCCCGAUUGUAUUUGGAUGAUGUAAUGCUUUAUUCAUGUAUUUGUGUGAAGUGGCGAUUGUAAGCCAACUAUGUAUCUUUUCCCUUAUUGUAUUACAUGGGUUGUUUGCGAAGAUUACCUCACUUGCGACAUUGCUUUCAAUGCGGUUAUGCCUCUAAGUCGUGCUUCGACACGUGGGAGAUAUAGCCGCAUCGAGGGCGUUACAAGUUGGUAAUCAGAGCCUUCCCCGACCUUAGGAGCCCCCCUGCUUGAUCGAAUUAACUGACGAGUUGAGUCUAGAAAAAUGUUUUGAGUCAUUUAGGAAUUAUAUAUCAUAGAGUUUAGGAAUUCUUUUUACUCCCCAGUCCCUUCAUCGCUCUGGUAAGGUAUCCUGGCGUAGAGUUUUGACUCUUCUCUUCUCAAUUUCACUAAAAAAAAUUAGGAUCACGUGGGAAUCUUGGAAUCGUUCCGAUGGUUUUGUGACGAGAACAUUGUUCUUGGUGCCUCCUGUCAUUUACGGGUGGUGGCAGUGUCCCGGGGAGUUGAGCUUCGAGGUGUUGUCGUCACAAUUUUAUUGUUGCAGUUCUGGAAUACCUGAGUUUAGUUCGCCGACAUCGAAAAUCUAUUUUAUGCAGUUGUUGGUGAGAUAACCUCAACGCCACCCAGUACUGGGGCGGGAGUUCGGGAGUAUUGCCAUAACUUGUAUAACGGAUGCUUUUCGAAGGUUGAGGUAGACGAUUUCCAAAGUUUUUCUCGGUUAUGUGUUGAAGGAUGGAUACAGCUGGAUGUAGGAUUUGCUAGAUUUGGGUGAGAUAUUAUGCUUCCCCUGUAUCCCCAACACCUGAUUGCAUAACUGGAAAGUUUCGGGAGUUUAUAAGUGGGAAUUCAAGUAGCUCUUAGGAUAUCUUUCCAACAGAUGUAUGAUAUGAAAUUGGGGUUCGACGUCUAGUGGUCCACCUAUUCACGGUCGGUUUGAAAGUGGUCGCGUUGUGUCUUAAAGAGUCCUUGGCUAUGCCGACUCGGGGACGCUUCGUAUGUCAUGUGCACUGCCUUGUACAUGAUGGUGUUGUACGAUCGAGCCCGUGUAGGCCCCACCACGAAAACUUCAGACGAAAUCUCUAUCAUAUGUUUGUUCUGGCGUAUUCUGCAAGCCAAUCCUUAUUUUGUUUUGAGUGUGGUAUUUGAGUUGCUUCAAAGUCAAAUGUUGAUUUCGAACAUUUCCUAAGCGGUGUUCUCAUGUGAAUACUAAUCCUUCUUGAUAAUCAAGUUUGUCAUGUCAAUCCUUUUUAACCGGUGUGCUUCUCUCCAAGUGGAUCCGAUCAUUUCAACAACCGCAAGAUCAAGUAUCAUUUCUUCUCAACGGUGUUUGUUUCAUCCGUCUCCAAGUUGCCUUUGUUUUCCCUCCCUCCCACCCUUUUCUUCAAGGAACCAGAUUUCUUAUUCAAGUAUCAUUUUAAUGUUGUGAAGUCUCUCCAUUCUUUUACGUCAAUGUUCUUAUCCGUUGUUUCUCAGGAAGAUGCCAACGAAGCUUCAAGUUCGUCACCCUUCACUCAUUUUUCUUCUCCGGUGGUUUAAAUUCAAGCGUUAUUGAUCAUAUCUUUCUCCUCGUUUCAAAUACCCUCUCAUGCCGGUGCUCCUCAUAUUCAUUCACUUCUCGUUAUUCAUUUGUUCCGGACUGGUGAAGAUAUCUCAAAGAUUUAUGUUUUCACUUUGCAUCCGUUCAAGCUAUUUCGAGGUCCUAUCUUAUUCAAGCCAUUUAAUUCAACCGGUGUAAUCUCUCCUUCAAAUCGUUCAACGGUGUAUUUUUUGAGUGGGCCCUAACCCACAGGUCUUUUCCCAGGAUCUUACCUGUCUCUUCUUAUUUUCCCGGAGCUAUCCUCAAAUUCUUUUCCAAAUUUGAUGUAAGAAUGAGUUAUCAUCAGACAAAUGCCUUUCUCCAAGAUCGGUUAAAUUAUUUUCAUCGUUGGCUCAACUUUUCCAUUUUUCAUCCCGGAGUAUCUCAACAAUUUGGUGGUGUUUCUCAUCGUCAUUCUCAGAUUUUGAAGACCGAAGAAGAGUUUCUUUUAAAUAUUGCCCCAUUCUCUGCCAUCCUCUCAUAAUUGUUUUCAGUUGUGAGAUUUUUUUUCACCCAUCCAGAGCAAUUCAAAAUUCUGUUCAGGUUGAUUAUCUGGAGCCCAUCAUCUAAGAUUUAUUCAUUCCAGCUUUCAGCUCUCAUACUCUAAAUCAUACCGGUGUCUAAAUCAAGGAUUCUCUAAUCAGCUCGUAAUCUUUUCGUUCUCAUGGUCUAAAUUCUCUCAAGCAUCUUCGUUUAAUUGCUAAUUCUUCCCGGUGUGUCUUCAUGUUUUAAUCGUUCUUUUCAAUUCUUACGGUGGUUUGUUCAAGAGUUUUCUUCCUUCAUGUAUCAUAUCUACGCAUUCGUGCUUUUCAAAUUCUACCGGUGGAUCGUUGAAGACUUUCUCAAGUUUGCGCUAUAUCUAUCUUAAUCUUUCUAUGAGGAUAAGCAGUAUGCCAAAUCCAUUGCUCGUCAGCAAUUAAAUUGGUGAUGGAUACGCAUAACGUAAUUCUUAUUCUUGUUUCAUCCAAGUGAUUUAAUUCUUUAUUUCGGAGGUUCAUCAUAUCACAUUCUCGGUUCGAGAGACUUAUCUUUUUCCUUUUCCAAGAGUUCCAAGCUCUCACAACUAUAUCACCAUGGAGAUCUAUUUAAUCAUUCCAAGGUUUUCACCUUAUAUUCUUAACUUCUCUUUCUUUUCGUUAUCCUUUUGUUUACCGGAGUCUUCAUGGAGGUUCUACAAGAUGGUUCAUCAAGGAUUUAAUUAUUUCUUGAAGUGUUCGUUGAAAUUCUUUUCGAAGGAGCUCAAUCAUUCUUCAUCGUGCAAUUUCUUCUACCUUAUCUUUUCAGGUGGUGUUAUGUCAUUUUGACAAUUUCUUUCGUGUUUCAUGAUUCGCAAGUUUUCAGGAAUGAGAUAGUUAAACCCAUCAAUUUCUUCGAGCAUGAGCUCUUCUCAAUCCAUCAACAUCUUCGUUGGAGUUAUCUUGUGUCAUGUUUCACCUAAAGCCUUCCCUAAGGACUGUUGCUAUUUAUGGUGCUCUUAAAUGACCCAAGUUCUUCUUUUAUUCUCCCAGUGAGAUAGCUUCUCAUCUCCUUGUUCGUAUCAAUCCAAUCUAUUGUUUUUUCGUUAGUGGCAGAAUUUCACCUCAGUUUUGGGAUGUUUUCCAUAAGCCCGCUUCAAGCUUAUCCUUUCGUUGUUGGUUUUCCAACAACUCCGUUUGACCCUUCUCCUAAAAUAUGUUUUUUUUCAAGCUCAUUUGAGGUAGAAGAUGUUGUUUUCUCCUACGUUCUUUUGAUUCCAUUAUUUUAUCUCUUCCGGAGGCAUUGUGGUGUUCCUCUCCUCACUCUUCAUUUCGGAUUGUCAGACCAUGUUCUUUUCGUGCUUAUCCAUUUAACUGGAGUGUCAUGCCCUCUUUUCAAGUUCUUCCCAUUGUGUCAAGUUUUGGCUCCCUUCUCAACCGGAGUGCCGUCUGAAAUCAUUCUUACCCUUUGUGCCAUUCUUUCAAUAGUUCCGGAGGCAGUGUGUUGUUGAUUUCAUCAAGCAAACUCUCAUCUUAUCAAGUUAUUGUUCGAAUCCGUCCAUUUACAGUCGGAGUGCUGUCCAAAUUAUAUCAUUCUUAUUCCUUCUCUAUCUUGUUUUAACCGGAAUGUUGUGUCCUCUGCUCAGGUUCUUUUUGCCUUAUCAAGUCUUGCAUCUCUUUCAACCGGAGUGUUGUCCGAAUUUGUUCUUCCUCGUUCCUCUUUCCCAACGGAGUGUUCUCAACCUUGUUCAUCUUCAUUGUAUUCUUUUCUCAUAAUGGUUUAACCUCUCAAGGUUCUUUGGUUUCACUCGUUUGUCAAAGAAGCAACUUAGUUCUUACCUUUUCUCUUCCUCUUCCUUUUCCCUCCGGUGCCAUUCUAGAUCUCGGGAAGAGAUCCUCUCGUAGUUGUGGAGUGUUGUAACGCCCCGAGACCGAUGUGCCAGGUGUCCUCCAGUUAUUCGAUGUUGUUGCCUUGUCUUUGCUUGCGUGUCAUGCAUUUCAUAUCAUGUCAUCAUGUGCAUUGCAUCAUCAUGUUUUCAAAACUUGCAUCCGUCCCGGUCUCCUCGUUCCCUCCGUUGUCCGUUCGGAGCCCAGACACACUUGCACGCGACCGAGGCAUGUCCGAAAUAGUAUUUUAUAAGUGUUCGGAAAAUGUUCUCGGAAUGGGAUGAAAGUUGGCGUCCGGUGUUGUUUUGUUGUAGGUAGGCCGCCUGCCAAGUUUUAUCGCGUUCGGAGUCCGUUUGACGCCCCAACGGAUAACUAUAGCGGCAGUAUAGUCGGUCUAACGUCGGACGUUUUCGGUCUCCGGGAAUAGUCGCCGGGCCUCUCUCUCAUCUCUUCUCUCAGCUCGAGCCCUUCUGCACAGCCCAUGAGUUCCAACCUAUCUCUCGCGCGCUUCCGAAAAGCUGUCCCGGACCCGACCCGGACUGUCGCCGCCGUCGUGUCCAGAUCAUCCCCAAACGUCUACAAAACAUCUCUGUUUUUCUUUUUGGUCUCCCUAGCUAUUUUAUUCGCGUUCAUCCAAUUGCGAUCGGAGGGAUCCGUUAGCCCCUAACCUAUUUCACCGCUAUAUAUAAUGGGAAACCCUAGAUUUUAGGGGUUUGUCCCAUCCAUUCCCUCGGCCGCCGCCGCAUCCUCCUCGUUUUCCUCAGCCACCAACCAGAUCCACUCAUCUUGUCUUCCUCGAGAUCCACCUCCAUAGAUUUCAGUGCCCCCAGUCGCCACCUGCCUUCCUUGAUCCACCCCGCCCCCUGCUUCCUGAGCCCAUGCAGCCCUGCCCCGAGCACCCCCGCAAGCAGCAGCUUCGGCGAGCCCUGCCAUCGGUGGCCACCACCAGGCUGCACCUCUCCUUCCCUUCUCCCCCUAUGGUUUUCUCUCCUUCCCCUUCGAUCUCUCUCACGAUCUCCCUCUCUCUCUGUAGUUCAUCGCUGAAGGAACGGCCGCCGCUCGCGGAAGCCACCAACGUCCGCCUCUGGCCAGAUCCAACCAUCUCCGAUGCCUCCUCGUCGGAUCCCGCCGUCAAGUCCCCAUCCUGUCGUCGUGUGGAGCUCCACCGCCCAAGUCCUUCGUCCUGUCACUGCGCCAAGUCCUCACUCGGUUCCCCCUGCGUCGCUGCGCCACCCCGCCCCGCAUGCUCCUCAGGACAGCCGUCACUGACCGUCGUUCCGUCCUGUGCACCGCCAAGUCAAGUCCGAUGCCCAAGCGCCGGAUCUAGUCGAGCUCGCCGCCCCUCGCCUUCGUGCACGACGUUCCCGUCCCGACCGAACCUGUUGUCGCCCCAUGCCUCCUCUGCAUCGGUCUGCUGCGCGAGGGAACGAGCGCCCUUGUGUUGAUUUCUAAUCGAGACGCUCCACCCGCGCCAAGUCCGACUCCAGCCACGCCGGAGCCGCUCCUUCUCCCACCCCGCGUGCCUGCCAGCAGCCGCCGUCGUUGACUCUGCCUUGCGCCGCCUCCUCUGUUCUGCGCUCGUUCGAGCGUGGAGGACGAGCGCUGGUGCGUAUGGGCUGCCCCCUUUGCAUCAUCAAGGCCCAGCGUGUCGCAUGCCCACCUCGCCCUGCUUCCCCUCUCCACCCACCGGGCCAAGCCCAGGGUGAGCCCUGCUGCCCCCACCUUUUGCACUAUUGGCCCAAGUGCAGUUUUGGCCCAUGUCAUGUUUUUUUCCUCUAGAUGAUUUUUCUAUUAUUCCAGAGAACGCCCAUUUUGCAGAAAAGUCCCUAAACAUCAUGCAUAUUAUAUCUCACCAACCGUGCAUCAUAUUUAAAUAAGUUAUAUAUAUAAUGCUUAGAAUUUUGUGUAGAUUAAUAAUAUUAAACUUUCAUGCAUGUUUAAAAUGUUUAAAAUGUUAUUUGUUUAAAUUUGCUUAAAUAACUUGCUAAAAUGAUUUAAUUCAUAACUAAAUAACCGUAGCUCCAAACCUAACAAACUUUAUAUGUAAUUGGUGUAGAAUUUUUUGUAGUUUAACAUGGUGGACUUGCUUUGCAUGUUUAAUAACUCUAAAAUUGUGUUUAGGGCAGAACAGAACCAAACCUAAUAUAUGCAUAUGGGGAUUUACCGGAAUUGUUGUUUGUCGUUCCGGCCUCAUUUAAUCUUGCCUGGAUAGGUAGUUUUCUUUUGCUUCAUCUCUUGCCAUGUUAACCAACAUUUAAUAUUGUUGAGUACUUAAACGGGAGAGAACUAAAUAAUUGUUCUGGUGUUUCGUCAUUAUGCAACGGAGUUGCAUAUUGAGCUCCACUUAAUUUGUAGGGUUGUUUGUGCAUUUUGCCAUGCCAUGAUUCAUUAAACCGGACAUGCAUCAUACUUGAUUGUGCAUCAUGCCAUGUUCAUGUGUUGGUUUUUUACUAUGUUGUGUGCUUCUUUCCGGUGUUUGCUUCUUCGGGUUGGUUCCAAUAACGUCGCGCUUCUAAGGACCCGUUCGUCUACGUCCGUUUGUCUUCUUCAUGGACUCGUUCUUCUUCCUUGUGGGAUUUCAGGCAAGAUGAUCAUACACUCGAAAUCACUUCUAUCUUUGCUUGCUAGUUGCUCGCUCUUUUGCUAUGCCUAUGCUGCGAUACCUACCACUUGCUUAUCAUGCCUCCCAUUUUGUUGAACCAAGCUUCUAACCCACCUGGUCCUAGCGAACCGUUGUUUGGCUAUCUUACCACUUUGCUCAGCCCCUCUUAUAGCGUUGUUAGUUGCAGGUGAAGAUUGAAGUUUGUUCCUUGUUGGAACAUGGAGAUGUUGUUCCUUGUUGGAACAUGUUUACUUGUUGGGAUAUCACAAUAUAUCUUAUUUAAUUAAUGCAUCUAUAUACUUGGUAAAGGGUGGAAGGCUCGGCCUUAUGCCUGGUGUUUUGUUCCACUCUUGCCGCCCUAGUUUCCGUCAUAUCGGUGCUAUGUUCCCAGAUUUUGCGUUCCUUACGCGGUUGGGCUAUAAUGGGAACCCCUUGACAGUUCGCCUUGAAUAAAACUCUUCCAGCAAUGCCCGACAUUUGUUUUACCAUUCGCCACCUAUCCUUUUCUUUUACCUUGNNNNNNNNNNNNNNNNNNNNNNNNNNNNNNNNNNNNNNNNNNNNNNNNNNNNNNNNNNNNNNNNNNNNNNNNNNNNNNNNNNNNNNNNNNNNNNNNNNNNNNNNNNNNNNNNNNNNNNNNNNNNNNNNNNNNNNNNNNNNNNNNNNNNNNNNNNNNNNNNNNNNNNNNNNNNNNNNNNNNNNNNNNNNNNNNNNNNNNNNNNNNNNNNNNNNNNNNNNNNNNNNNNNNNNNNNNNNUUGCCGGUGGCCACCAGGGGCAACUCUAGGCUGGCCUACCCGUACCUUGGACAAUCCGGUGUGCCCUAAGAACGAGAUAUGUGAAGGUCCUAUCGGGAUUUGCGGCACAUUCGGGCGGUGUUGCUGGACUUGUUUUAUCUUUGUCGAAGUUGUCUUGUAGAACCGGGAUGCCAAGUCUGAUCGGAAUGUCUCGGGAGAAGGUUUAUCCUUCGUUGACCAUGAGAGCUUGUGAUGGGCUAAGUUGGGACACCCCUGCAGGGAUUUGAACUUUUGAAAGCCAUGCCCGCGGUUAUGGGCAGAUGGGAAUUUGUUAAUGUCCGGUUGUAGAAAACCUGAAGUUGAUCUUAAUUAAAAUACAUCGACCGCGUGUGUAACCGUGAUGGUCUCUUUCCGGCGGAGUCCGGGAAGUGAACACGGUGUUGGAGUUAUGCUUGACGUAGGUUGUUCUAGGAUCACUUCUUGAUCAUACUUUUAUCGACCGUGCUUUGCCUUCUCUUCUCGCUCUCAUUUGCGUAUGUUAGCCACCAUAUAUGCUAGUCGCUUGCUGCAGCUCCGCCUCAUACCUUUUACCUUACCCAUAAGCUUAAAUAGUCUUGAUCGCGAGGGUGUGAGAUUGCUGAGUCCCCGUGACUCACAGAUACUUCCAAAACCAGCUUGCAGGUGCCGUUGAACCGUGCAAAUGACGCAACCAAGCUCAAGGAGGAGCUCGAUGAAGAUCUUGCCCUUUUUGUUGUUUUGUUCUAGUUGAUCAGUAGUGGAGCCCAGUUGGGGUCGAUCGGGGAUCUGUGUCGCAUUUGGGGUAGUCUUCUUUUAUUUUGGCUCCGUAGUCGGGCCCUGAUUGUAUUUGGAUGAUGUAAUGCUUUAUUCAUGUAUUUGUGUGAAGUGGCGAUUUUAAGCCAACUAUGUAUCUUUUCCCUUAUUGUAUUACAUGGGUU
rnacentral:lncRNA from 1 species